ensembl:lncRNA
CAAGAAAAGGCAAAAAGACAAAAAAAAAAAAAAAAAGAAUUUAAAAAUGAGUUGGGAGGGGAGUUCCCGUUGUGGCUCAGCAGGUUAAGAACCCCACAUAGUAUGGGUGAGGAGGGGGUUCCAUCCCUGGCCUCACUCAGUGGGUUAAAGAUCCGGCAUGGCCCCAAACUGCGGUGUAGGCCAACAGCUGCAGCUCCGAUUGGACCCCUAGCGUGGGAACUUCCAUGUGCUCCAGAUGCGGCCCUAAAAAGACAACAACAACAACAAAUGAAUGGGGAGAAACGAGAUGUGGGCCGAGAGAGUGAGUGACAGGAGGGAUACAAGGGCCCAUGUGGGGGGAGGGGCUUCUGUUUGCUGAACCCAGACGUGCAAGUGUGACCACUCAGUGGCGCUCAGAAGGCCUUUGGUGGGGGACUGGAAGGCCGGCGUGGGGGUCCUUAGGCCCUGCAGAAGGUUUAGGCCUGCUUUUCCCUUGGCUUUUGGGUGGCUCAGCCGUGGGGGCUCUCGUCGGGUCUUUAUCCUCGGCAGAAUCUAGAAAACAGCCUUUGUGAAGGAGGUGAGAGUUCUGGUGUGGGGGGGCCUGGGCAGGACAAGGGAGGAGGCCUGGGUCUCGGAAGGGGAUGGUCAUUUGUGAACAGAGUGGCUAAGGCCCGGUCGACUCUAGGUGGAGGGCAGCCUGGCCCCCUGCUCGGGGCUGGCUGCUGACAGAGCCACGAGAUCGGUUGACUUGAGGACUUAAAGGCAGGCUGUCGGACGUCUCUCUCAGACUACGAUGGAGCGAGAAAGUGAGGGUCUCGCUGAUGAGAGGAGCCUGCGUCCUUUGCACCCUCGGUGUCUGCGCGUGGCUUGUACGCGGGGCUGGACAGAGACUGGGGACCACAGCUCACUGCUAAGGACAAUCGCCUUCCAAGGGCCAUUGUUCACAUGGUUUGGGAUUUGAGUUAUAACCAGGGUUGUGAUUCUGUUUAAGCCCUGUGAUUAAAUUCCCCCGUGGUUAGAGCAGCAGACAGGAAGGGCUGGCCUCGCAAAGGAAAAAGACGAGUACUCGCGGCUAUGGAAAUCACUCAGCAGAGCGUCAGACGAGCUAAGUGUUUCCCACGUGUUGUCACAUGUGGCCCUCACGGCUUUCACUCUCUCCCAUCCCUCGGAUGCAGAAGCAGGUGCAGAGGGGCUGCAGCCUGCCUCCGGCACUGCGGUGCUUCCUCUGUGAAGCAGCAGAGCUGGGGGAGUUCCCGUUGUGGCUCAGCAGUUAACGAACCCGAUUAGGAUCCAUGAGGAUGUGGGUUCGGUCCCUCGCCUCGCCCAGUGGGUUAAGGAUCCGGCAUUGCCAUGAGCUGUGGUGUAGGUCACAGAUGCGGCUCGGAUCUGGCGUGGCUGUGGCUGUGGCGUAGGCCAGCCGCUGCAACUCCGAUUCCAACUUUAGCCUGGGAACUUCCAUAUGCCGCAGGUGUGGCCAUAAAAAGAAGAAAGAGAGAGAGAGAAAAAUAGCAGGGCUGGGGUCGGAACUCGGGUUGGUUGGCUCCCCAGGCUGUGCUCUUCUUCUCACUGGCUCUCUGAUAAUCAGGUAGUUUUCUGGGGGUUUGUGAACGAUAUAUAGGAAGUAAAUUUUGCUGUGGUGAGAAAUCCCUUUGCCAUCAAACAGGCACGGACGGCCAGAGUGUCUCCUGCCGGGGCCUGGUGCCGUGAUUGAUUUUCGUCGCGCCUGGAGGUUGGGCGGUUAAGGCUCCAUCUCACCGACGAGGAAGCCCCGGCACAGAGAAGUUCAGUCGCUUCCCGGCGGCCACGGCUGGUUGGGAUUGUGAUGCUGUUUGAGCCCGUGAUUCAAGUCCGCUGUGGCUACAGCAGCAGACAGGAAGGGCUGGCCUCGCAAAAAAAAAAAAAAAAAAAAA